rnacentral:rRNA from 1 species
GAUGAACGCUGGCGGCGUGCCUAAUACAUGCAAGUCGAGCGAACGGACGAGAAGCUUGCUUCUCUGAUGUUAGCGGCGGACGGGUGAGUAACACGUGGAUAACCUACCUAUAAGACUGGGAUAACUUCGGGAAACCGGAGCUAAUACCGGAUAAUAUUUUGAACCGCAUGGUUCAAAAGUGAAAGACGGUCUUGCUGUCACUUAUAGAUGGAUCCGCGCUGCAUUAGCUAGUUGGUAAGGUAACGGCUUACCAAGGCAACGAUGCAUAGCCGACCUGAGAGGGUGAUCGGCCACACUGGAACUGAGACACGGUCCAGACUCCUACGGGAGGCAGCAGUAGGGAAUCUUCCGCAAUGGGCGAAAGCCUGACGGAGCAACGCCGCGUGAGUGAUGAAGGUCUUCGGAUCGUAAAACUCUGUUAUUAGGGAAGAACAUAUGUGUAAGUAACUGUGCACAUCUUGACGGUACCUAAUCAGAAAGCCACGGCUAACUACGUGCCAGCAGCCGCGGUAAUACGUAGGUGGCAAGCGUUAUCCGGAAUUAUUGGGCGUAAAGCGCGCGUAGGCGGUUUUUUAAGUCUGAUGUGAAAGCCCGCGGCUCAACCGUGGAGGGUCAUUGGAAACUGGAAAACUUGAGUGCAGAAGAGGAAAGUGGAAUUCCAUGUGUAGCGGUGAAAUGCGCAGAGAUAUGGAGGAACACCAGUGGCGAAGGCGACUUUCUGGUCUGUAACUGACGCUGAUGUGCGAAAGCGUGGGGAUCAAACAGGAUUAGAUACCCUGGUAGUCCACGCCGUAAACGAUGAGUGCUAAGUGUUAGGGGGUUUCCGCCCCUUAGUGCUGCAGCUAACGCAUUAAGCACUCCGCCUGGGGAGUACGACCGCAAGGUUGAAACUCAAAGGAAUUGACGGGGACCCGCACAAGCGGUGGAGCAUGUGGUUUAAUUCGAAGCAACGCGAAGAACCUUACCAAAUCUUGACAUCCUUUGACAACUCUAGAGAUAGAGCUUUCCCCUUCGGGGGACAAAGUGACAGGUGGUGCAUGGUUGUCGUCAGCUCGUGUCGUGAGAUGUUGGGUUAAGUCCCGCAACGAGCGCAACCCUUAAGCUUAGUUGCCAUCAUUAAGUUGGGCACUCUAAGUUGACUGCCGGUGACAAACCGGAGGAAGGUGGGGAUGACGUCAAAUCAUCAUGCCCCUUAUGAUUUGGGCUACACACGUGCUACAAUGGACAAUACAAAGGGCAGCGAAACCGUGAGGUCAAGCAAAUCCCAUAAAGUUGUUCUCAGUUCGGAUUGUAGUCUGCAACUCGACUACAUGAAGCUGGAAUCGCUAGUAAUCGUAGAUCAGCAUGCUACGGUGAAUACGUUCCCGGGUCU